UACGAGGGGGGCAAAUGUUGUUCGGAAUCACUGGGCGUAAAGGGAGCGUAGGCGGGGUUCUAAGUCAGGUGUUUAAUCCCGGGGCCCAACCCCGGACAGGCACUUGAAACUGGGAAUCUUGAAUAGGGGAGAGGUCAGUGGAAUUGGAGGUGUAGCGGUGGAAUGCGUAGAGAUCUCCAAGAACACCAGUUGCGAAGGCGGCUGACUGGACCCAUAUUGACGCUGAGGCUCGAAAGCAUGGGGAGCAAACAGG
rnacentral:rRNA from 1 species